rnacentral:lncRNA from 1 species
UGCAUGGUAAACAAAAAUAUAGCACAUAUCCUGAUUAUAAAAUUUCCUCCAACCAGAGCUGUAGGGAUUUGUACUUGCUAUUAGCUUCUCUUUGGUAGCAAUCAGUUGUACUUCUAUUAAACUAGUUGCAUCUCAAGAAUAUGAUGAGAGAAUUAUGUAGCUCACCACCUCAAUUAUAAGGGACAUUUCUCAGUCAUCACAACUAAUAAAUGUACAAGUAGCUGAAAUUUGAGAUGCAAUCGAUGAUACACGUCUCUAUCACACUUAAAUCUCAUCCUUUCUUAAUUGCAUCGGGAUGCC